rnacentral:misc_RNA from 1 species
UCAAACUUGGUCAUUUAGAGGAAGUAAAAGUCGUAACAAGGUUUCCGUAGGUGAACCUGCGGAAGGAUCAUUACCAAUGAGAAAAUCAAAACAAAUUUGGCGACUGAGAUGACGCGCGGCAGACUGAUCUGAUUGGUCAAUCUGCCAGCUGCAUAUCAACACUCCAUUUGCUUCUACAAGCUUCUAUUUUAUUUCUACUUAUUUCUUAAAUUCAAAACUUUUGGCAACGGAUCUCUAGGCUCCCACAUCGAUGAAGAACGCAGC